AGUGAACGCUGGCGGUAGGCCUAACACAUGCAAGUCGAACGGCAGCACAGUAAGAGCUUGCUCUUACGGGUGGCGAGUGGCGGACGGGUGAGGAAUACAUCGGAAUCUACUUUUUCGUGGGGGAUAACGUAGGGAAACUUACGCUAAUACCGCAUACGACCUACGGGUGAAAGCAGGGGAUCUUCGGACCUUGCGCGAUUGAAUGAGCCGAUGUCGGAGUAGCUAGUUGGCGGGGUAAAGGCCCACCAAGGCGACGAUCCGUAGCUGGUCUGAGAGGAUGAUCAGCGACACUGGAGCGGAGACACGGUCCAGACUCCUACGGGAGGCAGCAGUGGGGAAUAUUGGACAAUGGGCGCAAGCCUGAUCCAGCCAUACCGCGUGUGUGAAGAAGGCCUUCGGGUUGUAAAGCCGUUUUGUUGGGAAAGAAAAGCAGCAGGUUAAGACCCCGCUGUUCUGACGGUAACCAAUGAAUAAGCACCGGCUAACUUCGUG
rnacentral:rRNA from 1 species